CGCUAGGGAUUAACUGUUAGUCCCAUAACUUGGUGACAAGUUAUAUAAAUUAAUUGGGUGAAUUGCAAAAAUAUCUCAUUGAGACAAUUUGCAGCGAAGUAUAUACUAGCUUUUAUUAGGUAUAUAAACGUUCAACGACUAGAAGAUGAGUAAGCUAACAAUAAUUCUUCCACGAGUGCCCAACAUCUUUUAUAUUAAAAGAUGAUGACAUAGUCUGAACAUUAUGGCAACAUAAUG
rnacentral:ncRNA from 1 species